rnacentral:rRNA from 1 species
AUGACAAGCGAUAAAGGAAAGGCUUCGAAGAAGGCUGGAGAGGCUUCUGGACAGCCAUCUACUACUCAUGAAGGGAAAGUCAGCAAUGAGCCACAGAGGCAACGGUCGCUCAAUGGGAGGACCACCGGCCCGACACGACGCUCAACCAAAGGAAAUUGGACCCCCGAAGAGGAUGAUAUAUUGUCCAGAGCAGUCCAGACUUACAAUGGGAAAAACUGGAAAAAGAUAGCGGAGUGUUUUCCCGAUAGAACCGAUGUACAAUGCCUGCAUAGGUGGCAAAAGGUUCUAAAUCCUGAGUUGAUCAAAGGGCCAUGGUCCAAAGAAGAAGAUGAUAUCAUUGUUGAAAUGGUAAAGAAAUAUGGUCCAAAGAAAUGGUCAACUAUUGCCCAAGCUUUGCCAGGACGUAUAGGAAAGCAAUGUCGGGAACGGUGGCACAAUCAUCUUAACCCUGGCAUAAACAAGGAUGCAUGGACACAGGAGGAGGAAAUUACUCUUAUACAUGCUCAUCGAAUGUAUGGAAACAAAUGGGCUGAAUUGACAAAGUUUUUACCCGGAAGGACGGACAAUUCAAUUAAAAACCACUGGAACAGUUCUGUAAAGAAGAAAAUUGAUUCUUAUAUGUCAUCAGGUUUACUUGCUCAAGUCUCGCGUCUCCCACUUAUUGAACACCAUGCGCAUUUUAAUUCCUCACCGGCAAUUACGCAACAAAACAGUGAGGACAGUGACAGCAAUGCUGUCCGGGAGGUUGAGGAUUCAUCAGGGUGUAGUCAAUCCUCAUUGGCCAUGGUUUCUUGCUCGCAAGUGCAGGACACCAAUCUGGCCUUGAGCUGUGAUUUACAUGUGAAUGCGGAUACCAGCAAGACAGAAGCACGUGAUUCUCAGUCUUCUAUGUGCCAGGAAGACUAUACUUCCACCGAGGGUGCUGCAUCUGCUUUGUCUGAAGUUCAUUGUCAUGCUUCUUCCUCCAGAUUUGGUCCAGAUAAACUCUUGCAGCAGGACAUUUCACAAAGAAUGAAUUUGCAGAUGGAUAUUGAUGAAAUACCAGGUAACUCUAUGUUUGAAAACAACCAGACCAUUUGUAGUACAUUGAAUAAUGAAAGACCGAUGUUACAGUAUGAGAUAGCACCAGAUAUGCCUAUCUCUGUGCUAACAAAUGUUUCUGGAGCUGAGCAAAAACUACAUUUCAUGUCCGAGGCUGACUUCAGCAGUCCUAAUUGUUUGAAAUCAGAACUUUGGCAAGAGAUUUCGUUCCAGAGUCUUCUUUCUGGACCUGAUAUAGUUGAUGCUGAUUCUCUUUCAAGACUAAACCACCAUUCAGAUACACAUUCCUCUGAAGCAGACACCAAUUUUUUGGCAGCACCCAACCCAUCACAUACAUCAAAUCCAUCGAGUAUGAUGGUGGCUGCUUAUGGCCAGGAUCCAUCGUUGUCAGUACCACAAUCUCUUAUUUCAAAUGGUUUGUCGGACGCGGCUGAUGAAAAGUCAGGAGAAAUGCAAGUUUCUGGGUCAGAGAUGAUCACAUGCAUGCAUGAUUCUUUUGGUGAUUCUGAGCAGUUUGCUACCCCUGGCAGUACUGAUGGUAGACAUGGUGCUUCAGCAAUUAUAGAAAGAAUACCGGAAUACGGGGACAAACAGUUAACUGAUGCUGAAGAACCUGCUGCCAGCAUGGCCAAAGAACCACCAUUGGCACAGGGUGAGGCUGCAUCAGAUGAAAAGCAAGAUAAGGGAGCGCUAUUCUAUGAACCUCCUCGCUUCCCAAGCAUGGAUGUUCCAUUUGUCAGCUGUGAUCUUGUAACUUCCGGCGAUUUGCAAGAGUACAGUCCCCUUGGCAUUCGGCAGUUGAUGCGCUCAACCAUGAGCGUAACCACUCCAUUGAGAUUGUGGGGCUCCCCUACCCAUGAUGAAAGCCCUGAUGUUGUGCUGAAGAGUGCCGCCAAAAGCUUCAUAAGCACACCAUCAAUAUUAAAGAAACGACCGAGAGAUCUGUCAUCUCCGACUCCAGAAAAAAGAAUGGAGAGGAAGUCUAGGACUGAACAGGACAGUGGUGUGUUGGGCACAUCCUCUGUCAGUGCUCAAACAAGUUGCAUGCAUGCCAUUAAAGACAAAGCAAUUGUUACCGAAUCAGUUCUUUGCACUAAUCGAUCUUCAUCUUUUAAACCUCUGGAGAAGAAACUUGAGUUCUGUGAUGAAAACAAGGAAAUUUUGGGUGAAAGCGAGCAGGCAAAAGAUGGACGAAAUGCACAGAACAACCAUACUGUGGAUGAGCAUGCAAGAGGGGAACAGUGUUCCACUGCAAAUAUGGUCAAUACUAAUGAUGAGCCACCUGCAACUGUUCUUGUUGAACACAAGGACAAUGACAUUUCUGAUCAUGGCGCAAAUGCCAUGUAUCAGAAAAUGAACACAAAUCUUGAAGCUCUAUCGGCCUGUAAGGAAGCAUUUGCUAAAUCAAAGUCUGGAGAACUCAUUGCCGAGAAAUCUUCACCAUGCAUUCAAAUGGAUUAUGAAUAUGUGAACAUAUUGGCUGAUACGCCUGGUGUCAAAAGAGGACUGGAAUCUCCAUCGGCUUGGAAGUCCCCUUGGUUCAUAGAUAUGCAAUAUAAGGGGUCAUACUUCAUCAGCCCAGCGGAUACAACUUAUGAUGCAUUAGGAUUGAUGAAGCGGAUAAAUGUGCAGAGUGCUUCUGCUUUGGCGGAUGCCCGCGAGGUCCUGGCAAGUGGCAGCCAAUGUGGCAACAAAAUUUUUGAUGAGGAAAACAAGGAAAACAUAGAUGCCGAAAAUGAAACAGGAACUGGCAAGCCGCAAAAUAAAAUCAUGGCUGAAGCAAGAGUCCUUGACUUCAACGAGUGCGCCACACCGGUAAGAACGGCAGACAACAGUGUGGGUGGCAGCCUGACAAAAUCGGUCAGCUCACCCAUUCCUUCCUCCCACCUCCUGAAAAAUUUCAGAUAG